rnacentral:rRNA from 1 species
UCCCUACGGGAGGCAGCAGUCGGGAAUAUUGCGCGAUGGAGGAAACUCUGACGCAGUGACGCCGCGUAUAGGAAGAAGGUUUUCGGAUUGUAAACUAUUGUCGUGAGGGAAGAAAUUGACAGUACCUCAGGAGGAAGCUCCGGCUAACUACGUGCCAGCAGCCGCGGUAAUACGUAGGUGGCAAGCGUUGUCCGGAUUUACUGGGUGUAAAGGGCGUGUAGCCGGGCCGGCAAGUCAGAUGUGAAAUCCCAAGGCUCAACCUUGGAACUGCAUUUGAAACUGUUGGUCUUGAGUAUCGGAGAGGC